rnacentral:lncRNA from 1 species
GUCAAAAUAAAACAGAACAUCCUGAGGACAUAACGAGCAAUUUGGAAAAAAUAAAUUUGUCGGUUUCUUAUACGGUUGCGAAGCCUUAGAGAUAACAAGAAAAACAGUGUUCGGGGAGAUAACUCUUAUAUGGGAAAGUAUUCGGUUAAGCAGAGUUGGUUUCAAAAGCAUAUAAACUGUUCGAUAUCAUAUUCCAAAUAUCUAAAGCGACAUCUUGCGAAACAAAAAAACAGCGAAGGAAAAAAAUUAGGCG